rnacentral:lncRNA from 1 species
CUCAUAUCCACAAUCUCUUGCACGCCCAUUAAUCAUCUGAGUAAAGGUGGCCAGAUCAUUUUUGAUGGUAUUACAUCAAAUAAAAAAAUAUAUUCCUUUUCUUUGAAAUCAGAAUUACAAAUGCACACCAAAAAUGAUGUUUCUCGUGAACGAAUUCCCCGUACCUGAUCAAACAACCUGCUGGCAAAUCUCAAACAAGCUGCAUUUCGAACAUAACUAUAAAUCAAACAGUUUAAGACAUUUUGAGCUAUUGAAUUUAGUAAUGGAUGAAUACAAAUAUCAACUUCGCAGCAGCUCACCGGAGACCAACAAUGCAGAAUGUAUGAAUAGUGGUACAUUUUGUGUCCCCAGUUCUCCCUGCUAAAGAUCCCUACUCCAAGUGUAAGAACUAAGUGUCCCCAAAAUUCCCUAAUAAAAUAGCAAAUGUAGCAUUUCAGCCCCUGAACAAGUUUACGAGCAUUAGGCCAAUGAGAUCAUCCGGCUUCAAUAGCCAUCAGAUACAGGUGAUUAUUGAUAUUAAUGUGCAUGUGGAUUCAGCAAAUAUGACAAACAGCCAAACCAUGGUGCCACAUGAACAAAAGGCAAAUUCAUCAAUACACAACCGUAAGUGUUACCGUCCAACACAGUCCCAAGUAUUCGAAGCCAGCUAAGUAGAUCCUCAUUCACCAAGUGCGCCUAUUUAGAACCAUCUUAAAUGUCAUUGCAAUCUUUACCAUACCUAAUCCUUUCAAUACACAAUAUACCUAUAAAUUAUAUUUAGACAGCAUAACAGCUUCAGAAACUAAAUAUUUAAGGUGCAGGAUCUCACAUUAAAAAACUCAAAAUUUGUAAAUAUGAAGGAACAUAUAAAAUAAACCGACCCAACCCAAUCCAAUCCCUAUCAUAAAUGGGCUUCCAAAUAAUGACCCAUUUUGAACCAAAUAGCAUCACUGACACUAAUGUUCUAAUGGACCGCUGCACCAGAAUUGACAAGUUAGCAAAAAAUAAAGGAAAGCAAGAAUAUAUGCUGAUACAAGAAGAAACAGCC